rnacentral:rRNA from 1 species
UGUGUGGGGUGGUGGCGUGCCUUUUGAAGAAUGAGCCUGCGAGUCAGCGGCAUGUCGCGAGGUUAACCCGUGUGGGGUAGCCGUAGCGAAAGCGAGUCCGAAUAGGGCGAUUCAGUCGCUGGGUGUAGACCCGAAACCAGGUGAUCUAUCCAUGGCCAGGAUGAAGGUGCGGUAACACGUACUGGAGGUCCGAACCCACUAACGUUGAAAAGUUAGGGGAUGAGCUGUG